rnacentral:rRNA from 1 species
UACGUAGGGUGCGAGCGUUUGUCCGGAAUUACUGGGCGUAAAGAGCUCGUAGGUGGUUUGUCGCGUUGUUCGUGAAAACUCACAGCUCAACUGUGGGCGUGCGGGCGAUACGGGCAGACUGGAGUACUGCAGGGGAGACUGGAAGUUCCUGGUGUAGCGGUGGAAUGCGCAGAUAUCAGGAGGAACACCGGUGGCGAAGGCGGGGUCUCUGGGCAGUAACUGACGCUGAGGAGCGAAAGCGUGGGGAGCGAACAGG